GACGAACGCUGGCGGCGUGCUUAACACAUGCAAGUCGAGCGGUAAGGCCCUUUCGGGGGUACACGAGCGGCGAACGGGUGAGUAACACGUGGGUGACCUGCCCUCAGCUCUGGGAUAAGCCUGGGAAACUGGGUCUAAUACUGGAUAUGACUCCACGGUGCAUGUCGUGGGGUGGAAAGCCUUGUGCGGCUGAGGAUGGGCCCGCGGCCUAUCAGCUUGUUGGUGGGGNGAUGGCCUACCAAGGCGACGACGGGUAGCCGGCCUGAGAGGGCGACCGGCCACACUGGGACUGAGACACGGCCCAGACUCCUAC
rnacentral:rRNA from 1 species